AUAUGUAGGUGGCAAGCGUUGUCCGGAAUUAUUGGGCGUAAAGCGCGCGCAGGUGGUUCCUUAAGUCUGAUGUGAAAGCCCCCGGCUCAACCGGGGAGGGUCAUUGGAAACUGGGGAACUUGAGUGCAGAAGAGGAUAGUGGAAUUCCAAGUGUAGCGGUGAAAUGCGUAGAGAUUUGGAGGAACACCAGUGGCGAAGGCGACUGUCUGGUCUGUAACUGACACUGAGGCGCGAAAGCGUGGGGAGCAAACAGGAUUAGAUACCCUGGUAGUCCACGCCGUAAACGAUGAGUGCUAAGUGUUGGGGGGUUUCCGCCCCUCAGUGCUGCAGCUAACGCAUUAAGCACUCCGCCUGGGGAGUACGGUCGCAAGACUGAAACUCAAAGGAAUUGACGGGG
rnacentral:rRNA from 1 species